rnacentral:rRNA from 1 species
GCGGANAGAUGGGAGCUUGCUCCCUGAUGUUAGCGGCGGNNGGGUGAGUAACACGUGGGUAACCUGCCUGUAAGACUGGGAUAACUCCGGGAAACCGGGGCUAAUACCGGAUGGUUGUUUGAACCGCAUGGUUCAAACAUAAAAGGUGGCUUCGGCUACCACUUACAGAUGGACCCGCGGCGCAUUAGCUAGUUGGUGAGGUAACGGCUCACCAAGGCAACGAUGCGUAGCCGACCUGAGAGGGUGAUCGGCCACACUGGGACUGAGACACGGCCCAGACUCCUACGGGAGGCAGCAGUAGGGAAUCUUCCGCAAUGGACGAAAGUCUGACGGAGCAACGCCGCGUGAGUGAUGAAGGUUUUCGGAUCGUAAAGCUCUGUUGUUAGGGAAGAACAAGUACCGUUCGAAUAGGGCGGUACCUUGACGGUACCUAACCAGAAAGCCACGGCUAACUACGUGCCAGCAGCCGCGGUAAUACGUAGGUGGCAAGCGUUGUCCGGAAUUAUUGGGCGUAAAGGGCUCGCAGGCGGUUUCUUAAGUCUGAUGUGAAAGCCCCCGGCUCAACCGGGGAGGGUCAUUGGAAACUGGGGAACUUGAGUGCAGAAGAGGAGAGUGGAAUUCCACGUGUAGCGGUGAAAUGCGUAGAGAUGUGGAGGAACACCAGUGGCGAANGCGACUCUCUGGUCUGUAACUGACGCUGAGGAGCGAAAGCGUGGGGAGCGAACAGGAUUAGAUACCCUGGUCCACGCCGUGAUGAGUGCUAAGUGAGGGGUUUCGCCCCUUAGCUGCAGCUAACGCA